GGAAUAUAGCUCAGUGGUAGACUGAAUGCUUAGCAUGCAUGAGGACCUGGGUUCAAUCCCCAGUACAUCCA
rnacentral:tRNA from 1 species